UAAACAAUUUCAUCCCUUGGAGCACCAC
rnacentral:sRNA from 1 species